rnacentral:rRNA from 1 species
GAUCUGCUUCUAGUACGAGAGGACCGAAGUGGACGAACCUCUAGUGUACCUGUUGUGGCGCCAGCUGCAUCGCAGGGUAGCUAUGUUCGGAUUGGAUAAGCGCUGAAAGCAUCUAAGCACGAAGCCAGCCGCAAGAUUAGAUAUCCCUUAUGGGUCGUUAUAGACUAUGACGUUGAUAGGCGAUAUGUGUAAGCGUGGUAACACGUUUAGCUGAGUCGUACUAAUUACCCAUCAGGCUUAAGACCU